rnacentral:sRNA from 1 species
GCCAGGUGUGGUGGUGCACGCCUGUAGUCCCAGCUACUUGGGACGCUGAGGUGGGAGGAUCACCUGAGCCUGGGGAGACUGAGGCUGCAGUGAGCUGCAAUGGUGCCACGGCACUCCAGCCUGGGCAACAGAGUGAGACCCUGUCUCAA